rnacentral:rRNA from 1 species
CCUACGGGAGGCAGCAGUAGGGAAUAUUGCUCAAUGGGGGAAACCCUGAAGCAGCAACGCCGCGUGGAGGAUGAAGGUUUUCGGAUUUUAAACUCCUUUUGUUGGAGAAGUUAAUUACGGUAUCUAACGAAUAAGCACCGGCUAACUCCGUGCCAGCAGCCGCGGUAAUACGGAGGGUGCAAGCGUUACUCGGAAUCACUGGGCGUAAAGAGCGCGUAGGCGGGAUAGCAAGUCAGAUGUGAAAUCCUAUGGCUUAACCAUAGAACUGCAUUGGAAACUGUUAUUCUAGAGUAUGGGAGAGGUAGGUGGAAUUCUUGGUGUAGGGGUAAAAUCCGUAGAGAUCAAGAGGAAUACUCAUUGCGAAGGCGGCCUGCUAGAACAUAACUGACGCUGAUGCGCGAAAGCGUGGGGAGCAAACAGGAUUAGAUACCCGAGUAGUC